rnacentral:rRNA from 1 species
GUAGUACGGAAUAACUCAGGGAAACUUGUGUUAAUACCGUAUACGCCCUACGGGGAAAGAUUUAUCGCUAUUGGAUGGGCCCGCGUUGGAUUAGUUUGUUGGUGAGGUAACCGGCUCACCAAGGCUACGAUCCAUAGCUGGUCUGAGAGGAUGAUCAGCCACACUGGGACUGAGACACGGCCCAGACUCCUACGGGAGGCAGCAGUGGGGAAUAUUGGACAAUGGGGGAAACCCUGAUCCAGCCAUGCCGCGUGAGUGAAGAAGGCCCUAGGGUUGUAAAGCUCUUUCGCUAGGGAAGAUAAUGACGGUACCUAGUAAAGAAGCCCCGGCUAACUUCGUGCCAGCAGCCGCGGUAAUACGAAGGGGGCUAGCGUUGUUCGGAAUUACUGGGCGUAAAGCGCACGUAGGCGGAUUGUUUAGUCAGAGGUGAAAUCCCGGGGCUCAACCCCGAACUGCCUUUGAUACUGGCAGUCUAGAGACUGGAAGAGGUGAGUGGAAUUCCGAGUGUAGAGGUGAAAUUCGUAGAUAUUCGGAGGAACACCAGAGGCGAAGCGGCUCACUGGUCCAGUACUGACGCUGAGGUGCGAGAGGUGGGGAGCAAACAGGAUUAGAUACCCUGGUAGUCCACGCCGUAAACGAUGGGUGCUAGCCGUUGGACAGUAUACUGUUCAGUGGCGCAGUAACGCAUUAAGCACCCCGCCUGGGAGUACGGUCGCAAGAUUAAAACUCAAAGGAAUUGACGGGGGCCCGCACAAGCGUGGAGCAUGUGGUUUAAUUCGAAGCAACGCGCAGAACCUUACCAGCCCUUGACAUCCCGAUCGGGAGGAUCAGAGA